rnacentral:lncRNA from 1 species
AAAGCAAUUUAGAAAUAAUCCAUCCUCAGUUGGCAUGAAAUGUCUACCCUUAAUCUAAGGUGGUAGCACACUACAUCUUCCUUAAGCAUGGACUAUCUUAUAUUUACUUAGUGAUCAUAAAAAAUAGUUGUAUAAAUGUCAUACUUAAAAUCACAGAAAUUAAAUAUGAGAUGAAAUAAAAUAUUCAUUAAGAACAAAAUAAAGUUUAUACAACUCCAGGAAUAGAAAAUUAAAAUAUAAAACCCUUGGCCCUUUGUUAGGGCUGCAUCCAGCCCUAGUGAGGAGAUCAGCC